rnacentral:rRNA from 1 species
CCUACGGGUGGCAGCAGUCGAGAAUCAUUCACAAUGGAGGAAACCCUGAUGGUGCGACGCCGCGUGGGGGAAUGAAGGUCUUCGGAUUGUAAACCCCUGUCAUGUGGGAGCAAAUUAAAAAGAUAGUACCACAAGAGGAAGAGACGGCUAACUCGGUGCCAGCAGCCGCGGUAAUACAGAGGUCUCAAGCGUUGUUCGGAAUCACUGGGCUUAAAGCGUGCGUAGGCUGUUUCGUAAGUCGUGUGUGAAAGGCGCGGGCUCAACCCGCGGACGGCACAUGAUACUGCGAGACUAGAGUAAUGGAGGGGGAACCGGAAUUCUCGGUGUAGCAGUGAAAUGCGUAGAUAUCGAGAGGAACACUCGUGGCGAAGGCGGGUUCCUGGACAUUAACUGACGCUGAGGCACGAAGGCCAGGGGAGCGAAAGGGAUUAGAUACCCCAGUAGUC